AAAAUGCGAUAAGUAAUGUGAAUUGCAGAAUUCAGUGAAUCAUCGAAUCUUUGAACGCACAUUGCGCCCGCCAGUAUUCUGGCGGGCAUGCCUGUUCGAGCGUCAUUUCAACCCUCAAGCCCCCGUGUUUGGUGUUGGGGAUCGGGCUGCGGUUCUACCGCGUCCCGGCCCCGAAAUCUAGUGGCGGUCUCGCUGCAGCCUCCAUUGCGUAGUAGCUAACACCUCGCAACUGGAACGCGGCGCGGCCAAGCCGUUAAACCCCCAACUUCUGAAUGUUGACCUCGGAUCAGGUAGGAAUACCCGCUGAACUUAAGC
rnacentral:misc_RNA from 1 species